rnacentral:rRNA from 1 species
CCCUUAGAUGUUCUGGGCCGCACGCGCGCUACACUGAAGGGAUCAGCGUGUUUUCCCUUUCCGAGAGGAACGGGUAACCCGCUGAACCCCCUUCGUGGUAGGGAUCGGAGCUUGCAAUUGUUCUCCGUGAACCAGGAAUUCCCAGUAAGCGCAAGUCAUAAGCUUGCGUUGAUUACGUCCCUGCCCUUUGUACACACCGCCCGUCGCUACUACCGAUUGAACGUUUUAGUGAGGUAUUUGGACUGGGCCUUGGGGGGUUUCGGCCUCCCUUGUUGCUCGGAAAGACUCCCAAACUUGAGCGUUUAGAGGAAGUAAAAGUCGUAACA